CACUGUGCUUAAAAAGGGAUUGAACAGCUGUCGUCAGGAUCCUCGAACUGUUGGCCUGAUCUUGAACUGAGUGUGGGUGGGACUUCUCCCACGACCUCUGACACCUCGACCUCUGACAACACAAAAUUCCCUAGAGUGAUUUAUCUCACAAAUAGCAAAGUAGAGAGAAAGGCAAUGAAAAUUACUGACUUCGGUAUUUGUCUAGAUUUCUGACUCUACGAUGGGUAAAAGCAGUGUGGCUUUGUCUAGUCAGCCACGGUUCGUGAAGCGCAGGGGCCUGGCCAGCAGUCCGGGAACGUCUACCACCCCACGCCCAGGACGUCAUCCCCCACCUGGACCCACGCUGCCCCUUCCCACCCUUGCGAGAGUCAAAACUCCUGGGGCUAAAAAGAAAAGUUUCAAUCCGGCACAACUUCAAAAGUGAGCUUCUGAUGGCAAAAUCAGAACGUUCUUCUUUCUAUGCUUCCCUUUAAAAAGGUAAAGGCAAGUCCGACGAUCUCCCCUCCAGCAAGUAUCAUUUCCUGCAAGCACAAGGAUGACAAUGACGAGUAUAAACCACCGCUGAGCCAGACGGCACAGAUGGACGAGCAGGCGCACUGCAGGGCUGCGCGGGCGUCGGCACAGCGUGGAGAGCAGUGUGAGCACCAGGACCCCGAGCUCAGACUUGCAAGUGGAAGGACAGUCGGCCCUAAUCUAAUGGGCAUGACUUUGAAUGAAGAGAGCAAAGUGAACAAGUAUGCUGAAUAA
rnacentral:lncRNA from 1 species